AUUGAACGCUGGCGGCAGGCUUAACACAUGCAAGUCGAGCGGAGAUGAGGUGCUUGCACCUUAUCUUAGCGGCGGACGGGUGAGUAAUGCUUAGGAAUCUGCCUAUUAGUGGGGGACAACAUUCCGAAAGGAAUGCUAAUACCGCAUACGUCCUACGGGAGAAAGCAGGGGAUCUUCGGAACUUGCGCUAAUAGAUGAGCCUAAGUCGGAUUAGCUAGUUGGAGGGGUAAAGGCCUACCAAGGCGACGAUCUGUAGAGGGUCUGAGAGGAUGAGCCGCCACACUGGGACUGAGACACGGCCCAGACUCCUACGGGAGGCAGCAGUGGUGAAUAUUGGACAAUGGGUGGAACCCUGAUCCAGCCAUGCCGCGUGUGUGAAGAAGGCCUUAUGGUUGUAAAGCACUUUAAGCGAGUAGGAGGCUACUGAGACUAAUACUCUUGGAUAGUGGACGUUACUCGCAGAAUAAGCACCGGCUAACUCUGUGCCAGCCGCCGCCGUAACAC
rnacentral:rRNA from 1 species